ensembl:snRNA LOC120100115 U4 spliceosomal RNA
AGCUUUGCGCAGUGGCAGUAUCGUAGCCAAUGAGGUUUAUCCGAGGCGCGAUUAUUGCUAUAUAUGCAUUAGUGUUUCACUGGACUAUUCAAGACUCAAUAAAAAGUCCACAGGGGG